UACGGAGGAUGCGAGCGUUAUCCGGAUUUAUUGGGUUUAAAGGGUGCGUAGGCGGGCUUUUAAGUCAGCGGUAAAAAUUCGGGGCUCAACCCCGUCCGGCCGUUGAAACUGGGGGCCUUGAGUGGGCGAGAAGAAGGCGGAAUGCGUGGUGUAGCGGUGAAAUGCAUAGAUAUCACGCAGAACCCCGAUUGUGAAGGCAGCCUUCCGGCGCCCUACUGACGCUGAGGCACGAAAGUGCGGGGAGCGAACAGG
rnacentral:rRNA from 1 species